GGAGAGUUGGCAGAGUGGUCUAAUGCGGCGGUCUUGAAAACCGUUGAAUUAAUUUUCCGGGGGUUCGAAUCCCUCACUCUCCG
rnacentral:tRNA from 1 species